AUCUUAAUUGAUUGUUUUUCCUUAGAACUGGUAUUGGUCUUGUCAUCUCUAUUGUCGAUCAAAUUGAAACUCGCUUUGGUAUAGAUAUUGGUCUUGCUUUCCGUUCUGCCGCUUUGCUGGAUUCUCCCACUUCAUACACCAUUACCCCUGGACUAACUAUUCCCCUUUAUAAACUUGGAACUACUAGUUGAGAUUCAUGUUUCAAUGUAUACUCAAUCACUGAGUUUACAUAAUUGGAACAUAAUAGUGAAGCAAACUUCUCCGUCUUCUGCAUAGUUCCCAUUUCUGCAUGUAUCCUUCUGGCCACAUAAGCUGUCCAAUUGAAUACCAUGCCUUUCAGUGUUCCUAUCGCAGAAAAUAGUAAUCACUUUGCCAUGUAGAUAGUAUGUCGAUUCAAUGCUAACCGCUUCUAAACAAACCACAUCCAUUCUAUAAGUU
rnacentral:lncRNA from 1 species